rnacentral:rRNA from 1 species
GAUGAACGCUGGCGGCACGCUUAACACAUGCAAGUCGAACGAAGUCGAUGGAGCUUGCUCCGGUUGAUUUAGUGGCGAACAGGUGCGUAACACGUGAGGAAUCUGUCCCGGACUCUGGGAUAACAGUUGGAAACGGCUGCUAAUACCGGAUGUCUUCAUUUGGCCGCAUGGUUGUUUGAAGAAAGAUUUAUCGGUUUGGGAGGAUCUCGCGGCCUAUCAGCUUGUUGGAGAGGUAAUGGCACACCAAGGCUUCGACGGGUAGCUGGUCUGAGAGGAUGAUCAGCCACACUGGAACUGAGACACGGUCCAG